CCCUCCGCCGCCGCCGCCCCUUCCCCCGGCUUCGGCGGCUCCCUCUCCUUUGUUGGAGGGUUUUCCCGGGCCGCGGGAGGCAGCGGGCCGAGGCGGUAACACAAAAGUGCCAUGUUCCACUCCCAAAUGCUGCUUUCCUACGCUCCGUUACUAGCUGCUGCCCUGUGAUACACAAAGUUCCCCCAAACAAGACUGAAGCUUGCACUGUGAGAAACCUAUCUUCUGUGACACGUUUUAGCGAGGUCAAUAAAUGAUUCAUUUUGGAUGAUUCAGUGUAAGUAAACGUUGCUGCAAUCCCCCUUUUUUGUGGGAGAUUUCUCAACAUGGAGAAGCUUGAGUGGAGGUACAGUAACAAAGCUUGUUGUAAACCAGCAACCACUGAAAGAUAGUUAAGUACACAAAAGAUAAAGGAUAUUUACACAAUAAGCCAAGCUUGGCUACCCUCAGAGUGCUCUUUUGGCGAAAAGAAGAUACUUCUCUGAUGAAGUAUUUCUUAGAUGAAUGCAGAAUAUACACUUUGAAUGUUUUUUGACUGAAAUUUUCUUUGCCAGACUAAAUGGAAACUCCUUAACCCCUAAUAGAACAUGCAUUUUUUUCCCACUAAAACCAUAAAAAUAUUAUUAGGUGUCCAACUGCAAAUGUGUGAUGGCAAACACUCUCAAUGAUUUAUUCAUUAUUGUUUAGAAGUAUUUGUGCUCUCUCACUAGGUACAUGUUUAUGUAGCAAAACUUGGAGGAUUUUUCUUCAAAAGGCAAAGCUGAAUUUAUAUAAUCCGAAAAAGAGCACAGAAUGGAUUGUUUUCCUUUGCUUGGUGUUGCUCUUGCAUUACAUUUUUAAAACAUGGCACUGAUACCAGCUGUGUUAUUAACAGGCAAAGGAUUUUAGAAGCAAACAUGGUCUGAGAUGUUCUUAUGGCACUUGCUGCACUUAUGGUCUGCUCAGCUUUUGUGACCUGGUGAAUGAGACUUUGGAUCCAGAUGCCAGUGAUAAACCAUCACAGAGCACAGCACCCAUUUUGCCACAGUAAGAAAUGUGGGCAAUAUCUCCUAUUCUGGAUACAUUUGCGACUCCCAGUGAAAGCAAUGAAAGUUUGGGCAAGGAAAGAACACAGCGCUAGGCCUGGAUAGGACUUGGAGGCUGAGUUGGCAGGUUGUUGCACACGCUUGUUUUAAAAUUUCUGUUGUCAGCUUUAGUAGAGGUAAUGUUUUUCUCAGAGUAAUUCACACUCAUUUUCCGGCUAUUUUCAGACAUGAAAUGUCAGCUUUUCAUAGGAAAGGCAAUACUGACUUGUCUGCUUGAUGCCAAAUAACAAAAUUGACCUAAAUUACAGUUAUUAUAUUUGUAGUUUAAAAAUUCUUCUUUUGUUAUGUUUACAGAGCUGAAAUAUUUUAACUUCAGUUUUCUUUUUCCACAAUGUGCAAGGUUGCCAUUUGGAUAAAGCUGAUGAACAGCAUCCAUCCCCGGAGAUGCACACAGGAAGAAUCCUGGUUCAGGGAAGCAGUGUGCACCCUCUGAAUGAAGUUUUAGCCCCCUUUGCAGAAUGUGAGCAAUAGCCACGUGAAACCAGUUGUAUCCCUCAAAAGAAGGGCUAAGGAACUAGAUCUGCACCUGAUGCAAACUGCCCUAACUCCUUUGUUUCCAGCUGAAAUGCAAUGACACUCAUUGUAAACAAUCUCAUGCCGUUUUCCAAAGUGCCAUCAGACUAGAUGCUGGGAGCAAUGAAUUCCUGCUUAUACAAUUUCAUUAGUGUUUUCUUUUUUUAUGAAAGUUUUUUUUAUGUUAAUUUUUCCCUUUCGAGGAGCUCAUAGUACAAACAAUAACUUUCCAGGAAGUAAUUGUCUCUCCAUUCAAUUUUUCUUAAACAGAACAAAUUUCUGUUUGCUAAAUCAACCUGAUUUACUAAUUAACAUCUGGAUCAUAUGUGCACACUAUGCACAUAUACAAUAAUUCCACAAUUAUAUUAUAUUAGCUGUUUAAAGGCUCAUCUAAUUUCACUCUAUACAUAAUCCUUGAAAAUGAGAUUUGCAUAAAGUAAUUUAAAGUAGACAGGGCAAACUAGAAGUAUAUAAUUAUGUGUCACUCUGAAAUAAAUACAUUUUCAGCUUUCAGUUUCCAUAACUGAGUUCAUUGGAACAUAAUUUAGCCUCUGAAUAUCUGAAUUAAUAACAAAAAGACAGUAUUCUACUUUCAUAUAUGGAAAUUUACGUGGAAUUUGCAGACAGGAUCUUCUUUGUUAUACUUGCUGGAUUACCUUCAGGGAGAGCAAGCCUUGAGAGCAUUGAAAAAUGAUCUUUCUCUAGAAGCUUGGGGGAGGGAGGAAGGUAAGAAUCACUCUCCAGUCUAGUUGUUUAGUCUAUUAAACAAUUAACAUAGGAGACUUGUUCCUAUGAAGAUUUUUCCCCUUCUCAUGUGGAGAACUUAAACUACUAACCUUGGUUCUGUGAAUUAUAUCCAAAUUCGAUGCCUGGAGUAACCUAAAGUGUGCAAUAUAAGUAUCCCCCAGCCUCCAAGAUGAACCUCCUUUUUUGGACUCACUGUUAGUUUGAGACUAGCCUAUGACGUUAUUGACUAGGGAUUUUAACAGUUCUUCACAGACCGUUCAGAAUUCAUGAGAUUAUACGAUAAUGAUCCAGGCCUAGCGAAGUGAAUACACUCCUUUUUUGUUUUCUCUGUCAGGUUCCAACUCACGGUAGACAUAUUUCCCUAAUCUAAUAAUUCUGUCAUGGGCUCAGAAUUGCCAGUGGUAAGCCUGCUGUUCAAUCUCCGUACAUAUUGGCAACGCACAUUACAAUGAUUUCAUUAUGUUUGCUAAUAUUUGUUAGUUGUAUAAGCUCAACUCCAGGAGUCAAGUGGUUACACAGGGAACUUAGUUUGCAUUAAGAGAAAUAAAUCAAGUCCUCUCCAUGACAAAAUAGAGCUGUGAAAUGUGUAAGGCUGGCAAUAAUAAAUGUCAAUUGAAUGGAAGUUGAAUCAGUUCCAGAGUCUGACAGCACACACUCCUGUUGUUAAACAUAAUUCUUCUUCUUAUAUGCUGAUCAAGAACGUAGCACUGGUGAAUUUUCAGUUCGAUUGAACAAUGAUGUCUGAGAAGUUGGAUAACAGCUAAUAAUUUUAAAAUAAAUAAUGUAGGUGUAUUUUUGCAUUCAUCUGACAUUCAUAAAAGUUAUACAGCUAUGCUUAAAGUUAAAUACAUUGUUGGAGAUUUCUGUUACCAUGUCAAGCUCCAUAUACACUUUAAAGGGGCUCUUAAAGAAAAAAAUUCCUCUGCUCAGGGUUCAGAAAUGAAUGUAGCAGACAGUAUUUUGAUGAUGAAUUUGUGCUGGGAAUUAGGAGGAUUCUAGCCAACAAAGGAAUGAGAUUCUAGAACAUCUUUCCGUAGGAGCUACUGGGAGAAAAAAAAUAAAGCUAAUUAAUUUUGAGGUAGAGUUGACAAAUUAAUGAAAGGAACAAGAAACAUACCUGCAAUACCAGGACUCUAUAGGAUACCAGAAAGUCCCUUUGAAUUAUAGAAAGCCAUCAAAAAUUCUAACAUAACGAUAGUAUGAGGACUGAAGAGAAGAAAGCCAUUGUGUCAUCAGGGAUAGUUUUACAAAGAUUUGGGACAGCGUGGAUGCCUCUGGGCAACAGGUCCUGUCCUGAGUUAGACAUUUCUCCAGGAUGCCGAGAAGACAGUGAAAGCAACGUGAGGAGACUUAUUUGAAUGUUCCCUUGAACAAAUAGCAAAUUUAUGACUGGCUCGUACUUGAAAAUAACGGCCAGAGUGAGUAAUUCAGGAGUAGUCCAUAAACUCCAAUACAACUGCAUAAAGAACUCAUUGAAUAACUGAAUAAUGGACCAGCACAUAAAAAUUGGAUUGUUUGCUGGUAAAUUUCAAUAGGAAAAAAAGCCAAAAAGAAUAGGUUAAAUUCCCUGAAUAAAUUCUUUAUUGCAAAUAAUUUUCCUAGCUCUAAUGAACAGAGUUUGCUCCAGCAGCAGACAGAAUAGGGCUGUAAUGAUGGAUGAGAUCUUUGUCAUGUUCUAAGUAUACUCUUCAGUAUAUGAUCUUUACCCAUUGCAAAAUGAAAAUGAUGUCUGUAAGUCCUUUAAGAUUACAUAAAAUGUAGUGUCCUAGCCAAAGCCAGGUGAAGCAGACCUUGAACCAGCCUUCAGGGAAGGCAGGACCAGGCUAACAGGUAAGGGGGCCUCCUUUCUGGACCUGGGCAGCAUGAGAGGGAGUGGUGCAAGCCCUCCCUCGCCCUGCCCCCUUCACUGCUGCAGCUGCAGCUCCCCUCCCUAAGCCCUUAAGUGUAACUCCAAUUUGACAGCUUGCAUGGGUGUGAAUACAUUUAUGUAAAAAAGCAACCCUGCCAACCUUAGAUGAAUUAAACAACUAUGACACACACUGGGCCAGAUUCUCUAACGCACUACAACAAUUUACAGUGCUGUGACUUUUAACUCCGGCUCAUUUUUAAUACUAUGGUUAACACAGCUGUACACAGAUACUGCAGUGCUUGCUGUGGAUAUUAAAAUGUACAAGUGCUUUUGUCUGAGAUUGCUUUUGGCAGUGAAUUCAUAUAAUGUUUUAAAAUGUUGGUACUAUGAAAUAAGGACUAUGUUAGCAUUUACAUUUCUAGUAUCAGAGGUCAUAUCUAUUUAUCCUUAACAAAGUUUUCUAAUAUGUCUUGAUGUAUUUAUAUAAACCUUUACAGCAGAGACUGUGUGUUUUGCUAACUCUUCUCUGUGUGGCGCUCAAUUAAUGUCACAGCCUAAGAAUGUUGCCAGGGUAUAUAUAAAAAAGGUUUUGUACUUUCAUCUUAAACAGUUCAUAAUUCUGUUUUUUAUCCACUUGCUUAUGCAAAGGAAAAAUGGGGUUAAAACUUGGGAGCAAAUAACAACCUGUAUAAUGUUUCCACAAAAGCGAAUGAAACCAGAAAUAUCUGUGUCAGUCACUUGUUUUCUAGUGUCUGUCACCUCUUUGCUGAAUCAACUAAUUCAGAAGUGUAAUAUGUUCGUUUUAUAUUUUCAAAUGUCACUAUUCGAUAGAAAAUGUCAUCUUUUCAGCAGGAACAAGGAACUUAACAAUAUCAUAAUGAAACUGCAGUGAACUUGUAGAUAUGAAUUUGACCUACCUGUGGUUCAUUCUUCAUACCUAUGAAGAGUUUUGUUAGCCCCAAGGAGCAGAAAGGUAAUUUGAGCUAGGCUGGGGACACAUAGUGACAUAGGAACAAGCAGUUGCGCCGCUCUCUGGCUGUGAGGGAACUCUUUUGGUUCAAAUGUUAUGGUAAAUAUUGAAACUUGAAAGAAAUGAAUAAUUUAAGAUGAAAUGUUUGCUGUUAUGCAGACAUGUUACCAUGUUUGAUCAGCUCUUUUGUAGCAGAAAAAGAAGCAUUAUUAAGAAAGUGGUAGGAGAGAAGCAGCUGUGCAAAGAUAGCAUCUUUUCAUUCAACACGUUCCAUUCCUCUGGAUGUGGGAUUAUGCUCAUUAGUCUUCUUGUUGGAUGGGGUUUUGAGGUAGAAUACCUAAAAUCUGGUAGUAGAAUUGUGCAGUUUUUUUUCAUGUCUGCAUAUCUCCCUUCUUCCUCAUUCCAGUAAUACAAUGUCCUUUUUGACUCGAUGCAUCUCUGGGAGCCAAAAUAGAAGGAGUGGUCCUUGCAUUUUGGCGAGUACACACUUGCCGGGAAACCAGUAUCAUUGUGCAUAUGCAAAAACUGUUCUUAAGGAUCCAAAGGAGUUUAUGCUGUAUUUAUUCCACUGAAAAGCCAGUCCCAUGAAAAGUGUGUUUUCUGGUUAUGUAUUAUCAGUAAACUUGUUCCAGCUGUUGGAUAUUGGUAUGAUCAAGUCAGGAAGAACCUGGCUUCAUAGUCCAGGCUAAACUUCAGAUGACAAGAGCGAAGAAAAUCACUUUUUAAUGAACACUUUCAAAAAGAUCUCAAAUGAGGAAGAAAAGAAUAACAGUGUCUUUUUAAGGGCUUUUGAGAAAAGGAGCACAUUUAUACUAUAUAGCUCUAUGAAAAGUGUAAGCCAAGAAUAGCAGUCUUGUCCUUCCUCUGCCUCUAAAUACAAGCUGUUGCCCUCUCAGCUGCUCCUUUAAUUAGACUAACACAAGCAUUCUCAUAGCUGAACAGCAAACCAGUUUGAACAAAUCUGGAGUAAAAUUAAUCAUUACUAUUUUUCUCUCAAGUUAGCUGUGAACUGGUCCCAUUCCUCCAUUUGGUUCACUGUUUGGCCAUGCAAAUACUUGUACUGGCAGCAGGCUGGCAGCAACAAGGGGACAAGAACAAGCAGCUUGCAACAGAGAAAGGGCAAGGCCACUCUUUCUGGCAGCAGUGCUAUACUGCUUAUGGAAUUGCAGUGUUAAAACAUCCCACCCCAGCUGUAUUAGGCUAUUUCUGCUUAUACUGACAGAACCAAUGUAGAUAAAGCUACAUGGAGUGAGAGAUUUGGACAAGACAAUCAAAAACUGUGCUGUUACAGUGGCUGGAGUGUUCACUGGUAAUGAGGUCUCAAGUAGUUAAAGACAGUUUAAAAGCCAACAGUAUUGCAAUCAGUAGCACAGCUUUUGUGAAGAGAUGUUGAGACCAAAUCCAGAUUUGUGCUGCAGCUGGUUAGCGCUACAUUGCUGACACAAAGCAGCUCUAAAGCUGGGCUAGACGAUGAAUGCAGGGGACUGGCAUAGCAUCUCUUAUGCCAUUGCUCUCCUGGCAGCUGGUAUAUGUCUGCCUGGGAAGGGAGUGUGGCCAGAUCAUUCCUGAUCUGUGACUGUCUAAACUGUCCCAGGAGCCAUUAGUUGUUGGUACAAGCCGGAAUCAGUAUAUCUCAUUUAAAAUUACCAUAAGAACAGAAUAGGAGUAAAUGCACACACCUCCAGGCUGCUGCUCCUCAAAGUGAGCUGUACACUGUUUGGCUGUAUGAUUUUUCCUGUUUCACAGACAUGCCCACUAACAAAGAAAACUAAGGAAAAUAAAUACUUUUCAAUGCAUGAAAAAGAUCCUCUUCAUUCCUUAUGGCUAUUGGAACACUCACUAAGUGAUCAGUUAAAACAUGUCUUUGAUGGAAAUGAAAAAUGACCUGUAAUUUGGAAUAUACAAAGCACUUGAUAGCUAUCUGAUAAUAUUACAAUGUAUAAAAAGUUCACUUCCUACAGCUGGUUUGUGUAGAGCUCUGUGGGCAGGUGAGGCCACAUAGCUUAUUAUGGAGACAUUUAAAACACACAAUUACCCUGUCCAUUUCCAGGAAUAGAAUGUAUAUAUGACGCAAUCAAAAACCAGUCCAUCCCUAUUAGGUGGCAGAUUCUCUUUCAGCCAAGAGUACAGUGAUCGCGUGAUGGAGAGUAUGUUGUGCGCUCAGUCAUGGUGCUGGAUUUGCAUUCACCUGUGAGGGAGGGUCAUGUGAACCAGGGCCCUGGCAGGGGCCAUACCAUUGCAAAGGGAAUAACACCACUGUGGUGACAUGCGUGAAGGGUCUCAGGCUUGCAAGAAGAUGUGACCUUCAGGAUUCACCAGUGGAAAGGGAGAAGAAGAGAGAAGGACUGAGACUGGUGAACUGUUCUGACUGCCAGGGCAGCUGUGGGUGACCAGCAUUAGGGAAAAGUAAGAAUUUAUAAAGGUGCUUGCAAAUGCUUCCCAAGUGAAGAGCAUGGACAAAAAUACAAAAUGCAGGAUGACUUUAUUAUUUUAAUUACCAUUGCUUGCAUCUAGGUCCCAGAUGUUAAAAUAAAGAUAUUUCUUGUACAUGGAGCAUCUAAACACUUUGAUCAUAAGGAUGCAGUCAGCCAUUGAUCUGUAGAGCUAAGCAGCAUUCUUUACAUUGGUAAAAUCAUAUUACUGAACUGUCACACUUUGUCAAAAGAAUUUACUGACAGGAACUGAUAAAGAGAUGUGCUCUCUAUAUAUUUGUUAAUACUGAUGGUGAUCCUGGGUUCAUGAGAUACAUAGGAAGUUCAAGGUGCUCUCGCUGUAAUCAACGUGCUGCAGGUAAUAACGAAACUGAAAAACUUCUGCUCAUUUCCUUUUCCAGCCUUAGAAUCAAAUUCUGCACUCAAGGCAAAAAACGUGCAGUUUCCAUUUGCUUAGACGACUUUUAAUCAUAUCUGUGCACAUGACAGGUCUUUUAAAAUAUUCCAGAUGUUUACCUCUUGAUUUUCUCAAACCUAUAUUUGCAGGCAAGGCUUUUCUAAGGCUAGGGAUCCACAUUUCUGACCAAAUACAUUCUUUGUAUUUAAAAUUUACCAGUGGCCUUAUACGGUAUUCUUUUUACAUGUUUCUGUUCCUUCAGCUUUCCUACACUAUCUGUCAAAAACAAUUAAAUCACUGGAUUUUUCAUUGUUUGAAAUAACUGGUUGCAUUACCAUCUGGAAACAAUACAUUUUAAGUGCAUAAUUACGGAUGUUUGAAAUCCCAGGAACCCAACUUUAUGUGCACAGUACUAGGAGACAACAUGCUCAAAAAUGUAUUGUCAGCUGUGAGAUGAACAGUUGGAAAGGAAGAACAAUUUAAACCACUUUUCUGCUUCCUUCCACCCCGUAUCUUGAGAGAACUGAAGUCAGAUGCGACUGCAGAGCAAAAGAGAACAUUUUAGACUGCUCUUAUUUGCAUUGAAGGGCUGUUGCGGAUAACCAUUCAUCAUAUAUAACAUCACAGUGGAAAAUGUUUUGAGAUUCUGUAAUGUAAGCUGCAAUAUAGGAUAUUAAAGUUCUGCAAAACCACCACAUGUCAAACAUAGGACAAUUAGUCAAAACUUACUUAGUUAAAACAUUGCUUAUUAGUUAAACUUACGCUAGUUCCAGUGCCUGACUCCAUCUCCUUCCUAUCCCUCCUUUCCUUAUGUAUCACCUCUUCCACAAUAUAUUCAUUUGCCAUAAUAUAUCCCAACUGAAAAGAACCAGGCAAAUUUUCCAGCUUCAGUAAAGACACAGCUGCAGGUCCAGAUCAGCCUCUGAAAUCGUGUUGGAGUAUGUCCCUUGUACUGCCCCCAAAAGCAUCAAGCAACUCAAAAAAAGUAAGAACAGUUCAUUUCAUACAGGUCCAAACACUCCAUCGAAGAUAAAUUCUAGUUGGUUUUGAGUUAAUAAAGACAGUAUUCCCACUUGCCUACUAUCUAUCUGAUUUUUUUUUUUCCCUAGAAACACUUCGUACUGAAUGACAUUUAGCUUCCAGUCCUUUCAAGUCAUUUUGUGCCACGACACCCAUCAGUCAGUUAUCUUACUUUUUCCAUAGUCUGUAUUUGUAAAAAGGAAGGGUGGGGGAAUUCUCAGCUCUAUGCACUUCUAGAGAUAUCAAAAGUUUAGUUUCCAUGCCUUUUAACUGCCAAAGCCUUUCACCUCACUGAGCUGAUAGCAUGAUGGAGUACUGUUCAGACUGAUAACUAACUGUUAAGAAUUCUCUAGUAACAGACAGUAUGCCAAAUUUGUGGUCUCUAUGGGAGAUUAUAUUUGGCUAAGAAGCAUGGGGAGAAGAGAACCACAGGAAUUCAAUUGGAUAUUAUGUAACAUGGCCAAUGGUAAAAUUAAAAAAAAAAAAAAAAAAAAAAAAAAAAAAAAAAAAAGGUUCUUUCUGCAAACCAGGAUUCUAUGUAGAGGCAGCCACAGUGGACCAAAUCCUCAACUGGAUCUGCAACCUGACCUGACUGUACAGUCUGUGUGCCACUUAAGAGAUGUCAGGAAAAGAAAGUUAGCCUAACAGGUUUUUAACCAGAGAAGACUCAACUUGCCUCCUCACACAGAGAAGAAGCAAUGUGAUUAAAGGGGGAAAAGUGGUGGUUGGUCAGUUAGUAAUCAUUGAAAUCUCAAAUGCACAAAUGGCACCGAACUGUGGAAAUUUCAGUGGUUCCAAAUCCUCUCUGUUUAUGUUUGGAGAGACAAUAAAGAUGAAUGACCAGAGCUUUGUGAAUGCCAUUUAAGCCCUUGGAGUCCCUUUCCCAUACUACUCAAAGUUAACAUACAGUUACCUUUCUACUGCUAGAUAUGAAAAGAAACAAACUGAACAUUGAUGGAUGCAUCCUACUAUCAAAUUUAGGAGUGGAUUCAGUACUAGUUUGUGGCUAAGGAUAAAUGCUUAAAACUCUGACCUUCAUACCAGUAAAUGUCUGCUUUAUGAAAGGUAUUUUUCCUAAAUCAAUAAAGUUAAAAUCAACUUGACCAAGAUUACCCCCACGAAAUUUACUUCUCCUUUCCCAAAUCACUUUGACAGUAAAUCAUCUCUUCUGUACAAUUUUGUAAUGCAGAUAUGAUUUUUAUUUGAAUUACACUCUGAAGUAGGCAUACAAAAAUCAAUAUAUCAAAUUUCCUAAAGAACACAGGGGUGAUAGCAUUUCAUGCCAGUUAUACCCCACUCCUCAAUUUUGCACUACUGUGAGCCACUGAUAGGCAUGUAAACCUAUGCAGUGUGAAGACAGUUUAAUGAAGAAUAGCAUAAGACACACGUGACCAGAGAGCCUUGGCAUAACUACUAUAAAGGGACUAACACACAGCAUUAAUAAAAGACAAAGUAGUCUAAAACAUUUUGAAACAACAGUCAAAGGGAAUUCCUAUUGCAGCUGAAAAGAACACAAAACAGUCCCAAGCAUCUGAUGGAAGGAUUAAUUAGUUGCACAUUGUUAUGCAUUGAGGAAGAGUAUUUCAGAUUCAUCAGGACUCUUAUGUUUUAUUGUGUGAAGACAGGUGCCCCAGACUGCACCUAAGCCUUGUUAAGAUACUGCUAAAAGUUGCAUAUAAUGCCAGAUGUUUUUAAAGAUUUUUAAAUAUUUGUUGUACAUUUUCUUAAAUACAGAACUUCAAAGAAAAUCAAGGGUUUCUGAUGUGGGAGAAACAGUCAAUUAUCUGCAUAAAAUGCAUUUCUUUUCCUCUUUUGAAUAAAAUAAAUGGCUUUGUUGGCUCAUGAUGUAUUGACUGAGACACACACAGGAAAGAAUGUGAUUAAAUAGCUUUUCAUUUGGUGCAUUGUUUAUGUAUUCAGCCCUGAUGAUAAUGUUCCCAAAGACAAUCAAUCAUUGAUUUUAAUUUGCUUUACUGUGUUAAAGAAAAGAGUGAAUUAAAUGUAGAAUUUAUUUAGCCUUCCCUUGCAUUCUGUAAUAAUCCAGAUGGAGCAUAUACGUUUUCUGUUUAGUGACACUGGCAUGAUUAAGAAAUGACAUAAAUGAGCAGUGCAUUUUUUUAGGGUUCAUUAAUGAAAGUUAGAGAUAUAAAAAGCCUAUUGAUCAUCAAGUUUAUCUCUUUUUUGUAUACUUGAGUUUACUAUAUGAUCAACAGUCAUGUAUUAUUAUCAAUUUAUACAGAAUCACUUGUGUGAGAGGGACCUUAACUAACUCUGAACUAAGUGAGAUCUUUCCAUCACUAACGGAUCACUUCAUGAUCUAAGAUGGAUAAGUCCCUGCACAAGACAGACUGGAUC